GUUCAAACGCUGUCCUUGUUUUGUUUCAUGUCGGUUAUUUACUAAAUAUUCACUCCCUGUACUUGCUUCUCGUCUCCCAGCAUCUGCCCUCACAGACUGGCUGACUGGCAUGGGGAGGCGAGGGGGAGAAGAGAACAGGUGUCUAGACCAGACAGCAGUCAGUGAGCCUUUGCUCAUCACCACAACUGUCUUAUUUAUUCAGGAACAUCCACAAACUUACAGCACUCAGUUGUUGCAGUGUCAAAUUGAUUGCAGUUUCAAAUUCAAAUGGCAAAGAAUAGCCACAAAGCCAUGUUUUCUAACUUAUCCAAAGACUACAAUAACACCAUCAAGAAGACUGUCAAGCUUUGUCUCUUGCCUGUUUUUCAGAUGUGCAAAUGGUUCUGUGGAUGUGUAGCAUCUUCCCUGUCCAUGUCAACAAGUCAACUUGGCCAGGUUCGCCAGGGGGUUUUCCCGGUUCGCCGGGGUUUUCCAGGUUCGCCGGGGUAUUCCCGGUUCGCUGGGGUUUUCCAGGUUCGCCAGGGUUUUCCCAGUUCGCCGGGGUUUUCCCAGUUCACCGGGGUUUUCCCAGUUCGCCAGGGUUUCACUCGUUCACCAGGGUUGUACUAUAGCAGUGAAAUAUACGUGCUGUUUCUGCAUUGUAUUUCCUCUGCUGCCAUUCUUCUGUGUUGAACGAAGGGACAAACAGGACAAAUCAAUUCUACAUUUGCUUUCACUUAAAUGCUGACAUUGUAUGUAAUGAGGUUCGUAUGUGAUGAGGUUCGUAUGUAAUGAAGUUCGUAGGUAAACUAAAACUGUGCAGUUAAAAGUGUGCUGUGCCAUUUCAAGGCAGAUAUCAACACAAUAGGUCAAAAUGUAUAAUUCAGCCAAUGUUAGUGUAUUUACAUUAAAAUCACUUUUUA
ensembl:lncRNA